rnacentral:tRNA from 7 species
GCUGGCGUAGCUCAACCGGUAGAGCACCUGCCUUGUAAGCAGGGGGUUAGGGGUUCAAGUCCCCUCGUCAGCUCCA